GUAUAAGCCUGGGGGCUUGUUCCUCAGGCAGAAAGGCAACAAUGGUGGUGCUCAGUCUUAUGUGAGGCCAUGUUACAACCGCUUUGGGACCUCUGGGGCUUGCUGCCCUUGAUCAGUGUAACAGCAUUUGUACCCUGACCUGCAGUGACAGUCCUUUCCUGUAGCUCAGGAUUUAGAAAAACACAAGCAUAAAUCCAUACACUGUGCUUGGAACUCCACAACGGUGACACACACCCUCUUGGCACACGGAAGUCUUUUGUGAGGACAGCCUGUUUUUCUAUGCACAUUGGUCUGUGAAGUUAGUCUUGUUCUGUGCUACAGGAGGGGACUGAAGUUCAACCACUUGUUUUCAACUACGAAAUAGUGUUUAGCUGGGCCUGAUGGCACACACCUUUAGUCACAACACUUGAGAGGCAGAGGCAGGCAGAUCUCCUGAGUUCAAGGCCAGGCAAGCCUGUUCUACAGAGUUCCAGGAUAC
rnacentral:lncRNA from 1 species